rnacentral:rRNA from 1 species
UACAGAGGGUGCGAGCGUUGUUCGGAAUUACUAGGCGUAAAGCGUGCGUAGACGGUUAUUUAAGUCGGGUGUGAAAGCCCCGGGCUCAACCUGGGAAUUGCAUUCGGGACUGCAUUGCUAGAGUAUGGGAGAGGGAAGUGGAAUUUCAGGUGUAGCGGUGAAAUGCGUAGAUAUCUGAAGGAACAUCAGUGGCGAAAGCGACUUCCUGGACCAAUACUGACGCUCAUGUGCGAAAGCGUGGGGAGCAAACAGG